rnacentral:piRNA from 1 species
UGUCAGCCAAAGUUGUAACUCCGCUC